rnacentral:lncRNA from 1 species
GGGUAGUGAAGGGGUGCGUCCCCAUCCAGAUCCCUUACAAAUGGAGGGGAGAAGCUAUUGUUUACGGUCAAGUCUAUUUCCUUCAGUCUUCAUGAUGUCAUCAUUGUAGUCUCCCGAUAGAGGCACAACAGUCACCGAUAUUUGCUACAUUAUGGAGGGAUUCUUUCUUACCCCUUAGUUGGCUGUAAGGUGUCCAGAAGGAGUAUGUUUGUAGAUGUAGCAUCUUAGCAUGGGAGAUGUUAGAA